GUUUGAUCUCAGUUACUCUCUUACUUGAAGAAGGCUUCGAUGAUUCCUCAUGGAGAAAUCCCAGAUACUUCUGCACAUGAUUCAAAGGUCCCUUACAACUGGCUUCAGCCUGCCUUCCAAGCCCUGUCUCUCGCCUCUCCCUUCCUUCAUGCCGUGCGUCAGUGAGGUAGGAAUGCUUGUGAUUCACCUUCCAGGUCAAGAUGAUUGGCCCCUCUGCCUUCACAUAUGCUGUUCCCUCUGCUGUUCCCCAUGCUGCACCCAGGGAGCUGCCCAUCACCCGCCAGGACCUUCCUGCCCUGGGUGCACCCAUAGUGCUUUGUGCCUUUCUCUUUCUUGCCACUUGCCACAUUUUACUGUAGUUAUUUGUUUAUAAUUACAAAUAUAAACC
rnacentral:lncRNA from 1 species